GACGAACGCUUGCGGCGUGCCUAAGAAAUGCAAGUCGAGCGAGGUUAAGUAGCUUGCUAUUUAACCUAGCGGCGAACGGUCGAGUAACACGUAGGCAACCUGCCCCAAAGCGGGGGAUAGCCCACCGAAAGGUGGAUUAAUACCGCAUGUGGUCAUGACGAGGCAUCUUGUUAUGACUAAAGCAGCGAUGCGCUUUGGGAUGGGCUUGCGGCCUAUCAGCUAGUUGGCGAGGUAACGGCUCACCAAGGCGACGACGGGUAGCUGGUCUGAGAGGAUGGUCAGCCGGACUGGGACUGAGACACGGCCCAGACACCUACGGGUGGCUG
rnacentral:rRNA from 1 species